GAACAAACUUCCUUCAUAAUUCUUAAUUACAGGUGAAUUUGCUUUGAAAUAUAAAGGGGACAUUCUGUUAAUUUAACAUUAAGGAUCUGAGUUUUGGCCAAUAUCAUAUAAAUACAUUUUUAUUUUCAGUUCUUGGCUCCAAAAGAAAAGAAAAAUGAAAUUCUGCCUCCCACAGAUGAAGGUGGUGAUGUUGAUGAUUUGCUGGACAUGAUGUGAGUGGGUGAUGUAUGGUGCCUAUACAAGCAAAGUUUUGGAAGAGAUCUCCCUGUGAGACAGGGCACUAAACACGCUAAUGAGAAGACAAUAUAUCCAUCUUUAUUUUCUCAAAUGAGAGCAGAAGUUCCAAAGACAUUUCCAGUUGGUGAAAAUGUCUGACACUUCAAAUCUAGAACAGAAGAUUGAAAAACACAAGAUUGAAAUAAUCUGGAGUAUUUGUGAAGUAAUGAUACCUUUAAGGCAUCUCCUUUUUUUUUUUUUUUUUUAUUUUUUGUUCGUUAGAUUAGUUAAACACUGAGUUUAGCUUAUCCUUGGUAGUGCUUUCAGCAUAACACUACUAAAUUUAAUGAGACUCUGCACUGGUGCCUGAAAUUCUUGUUACAUUGCAAGUCUCUAUUUUCAUGCUUUUUUCUUAUUAAAGAAACAGAGCAAAAAAAAAAGCACAAAGGCAUAUGGGAAAAAAUUCUAGGCCUGGGAGUCACAAAGUAAUAGUUUGAAAUAUGCAACAGAAUUUAAAGCACAGUAAUUACAGUCAUCUUGUAUAUGGUUACUGUAUCUUAUCAGCUCAGCUAAAUAGCCUCUGUCCCUCUAUGCGUACAUUGUCCUGUUGCAGAUGCUGGGAUUUGUUUUUUGUUGCUGUACACUGACACCUGUGAUAAAUGACUGCUAAUAGUUACACUGGUAACCAAAAUGGAGUGCUGUCUACACAGAGCAAUCCAAAGUAGUCAAAUACUCAAAUUUGAAUACAGAUCUGGAGAGACACUAAUGACAUCUUCUCAGAUGCUUAUUUGUUACAAUCAGAUUCAUUCCUUUAAAAGCUGUUCUUUCAUUAUUGCAAAUGUAUAAACAUACUGUGCAAAAUUAUCUUAAGAUCA
rnacentral:lncRNA from 1 species